rnacentral:rRNA from 1 species
GAUGAACGCUGGCGGCGUGCCUAAUACAUGCAAGUCGAGCGAACAGAUGAGGAGCUUGCUCCUCUGACGUUAGCGGCGGACGGGUGAGUAACACGUGGAUAACCUACCUAUAAGACUGGGAUAACUUCGGGAAACCGGAGCUAAUACCGGAUAAUAUAUUGAACCGCAUGGUUCAAUAGUGAAAGACGGUUUUGCUGUCACUUAUAGAUGGAUCCGCGCCGCAUUAGCUAGUUGGUAAGGUAACGGCUUACCAAGGCAACGAUGCGUAGCCGACCUGAGAGGGUGAUCGGCCACACUGGAACUGGAACACGGUCCAGACUCCUACGGGAGGCCGCAGUAGGGAAUCGUCCGCAAUGGGCGAAAGCCUGACGGAGCAACGCCGCGUGAGUGAUGAAGGUCUUCGGAUCGUAAAACUCUGUUAUUAGGGAAGAACAAAUGUGUAAGUAACUAUGCACGUCGUGACGGUACCUAAUCAGAAAGCCACGGCUAACUACGUG